rnacentral:rRNA from 1 species
AACGAACGCUGGCGGCAUGCCUAACACAUGCAAGUCGAACGAGACCUUCGGGUCUAGUGGCGCACGGGUGCGUAACGCGUGGGAACCUGCACUUAGGUUCGGAAUAACUCCCCGAAAGGGGUGCUAAUACCGGAUAAUGUCUUCGGACCAAAGAUUUAUCGCCUUUGGAUGGGCCCGCGUUGGAUUAGCUAGUUGGUAGGGUAAAAGCCUACCAAGGCGACGAUCCAUAGCUGGUCUGAGAGGAUGCUCAGCCACACUGGGACUGAGACACGGCCCAGACUCCUACGGGAGGCAGCAGUGGGGAAUAUUGGACAACGGGCGAAAGCCUGAUCCAGCAAUGCCGCGUGAGUGAUGAAGUCCUUAGGGUUGUAAAGCUCUUUUACCCGGGAUGAUAAUGACAGUACCGGGAGAAUAAGCUCCGGCUAACUCCGUG